CACCAGCAGCCCAAGUGGUGACCACGAUUAUUGGGCCUAAAGCGCUCGUAGCCGGAUCAGCAAGUCCCUUGUGAAAUCGGGCCGCCUAACGGUUCGGCGUGCAAGGGAUACUGUUGGUCUUGAGGCCGGGAGAGGUCGGAGGUACUCCUGGGGUAGCGGUGAAAUGCUCUAAUCCUAGGGGGACCACCAGUGGCGAAGGCGUCCGACCAGAACGGACCUGACGGUGAGGGGCGAAGGCUAGGGGAGCGAACGGGAUUAGAUACCCCGGUAGUCCUAGCUGUAAAGCAUGCGGGCCAGGUGUCUAGCGCUCCUCGAGGGCGCUAGGUGCCGGAGGGAAGCCGUUAAGCCCGCCGCCUGGGAAGUACGGCCGCAAGGCUGAAACUUAA
rnacentral:rRNA from 1 species